rnacentral:rRNA from 1 species
UGGAAGUAAAAAAUCGUAACAAGGUCUCCGUUGGUGAACCAGCGGAGGGAUCAUUACCGAGUUAUACAACUCCCAAACCCACUGUGAACCUUACCUCAGUUGCCUCGGCGGGAACGCCCCGGCCGCCUGCCCCCGCGCCGGCGCCGGACCCAGGCGCCCGCCGCAGGGACCCCAAACUCUCUUGCAUUACGCCCAGCGGGCGGAAUUUCUUCUCUGAGUUGCACAAGCAAAAACAAAUGAAUCAAAACUUUCAACAACGGAUCUCUUGGUUCUGGCAUCGAUGAAGAACGCAGCGAAAUGCGAUAAGUAAUGUGAAUUGCAGAAUUCAGUGAAUCAUCGAAUCUUUGAACGCACAUUGCGCCCGCCAGCAUUCUGGCGGGCAUGCCUGUUCGAGCGUCAUUUCAACCCUCGAGCCCCCCCCGGGGGCCUCGGUGUUGGGGGACGGCACACCAGCCGCCCCCGAAAUGCAGUGGCGACCCCGCCGCAGCCUCCCCUGCGUAGUAGCACACACCUCGCACCGGAGCGCGGAGGCGGUCACGCCGUAAAACGCCCAACUUCUUAGAGUGACCUCGGAUCAGGUAGAAUACCCAAACAU